rnacentral:rRNA from 1 species
AUUGAACGCUGGCGGCAGGCCUAACACAUGCAAGUCGAACGAGUGGCGGAAGGGUGAGUAAUGUCUGGGAAACUGCCUGAUGGAGGGGGAUAACUACUGGCAACGGUAGCUAAUACCGCAUACCAUCAGAUGUGCCCAGAUGGGAUUAGCGAGUUGGUGGGGUAACGGCUCACCAAGGCGACGAUCCCUAGCUGGUCUGAGAGGAUGACCAGCGACACUUGAACUUGGACACGGUCCAGACGCCUACGGGAGGCAGCAGUGGGGAAUAUUGCACAAUGGGCGCAAGGCUGAUGCAGCCAUGCCGCGUGUAUGAAGAAGGCCUUCGGGUUGUAAAGUACUUUCAGCGGGGAGGCGUUACCCGCAGAAGAAGCACCGGCUAACUCCGUGCCAGCAGCCGCGGUAAUUC